GGGGAAUAUUGGACAAUGGGCGCAAGCCUGAUCCAGCCAUGCCGCGUGAGUGAUGAAGGCCCUAGGGUUGUAAAGCUCUUUUGUGCGGGAAGAUAAUGACGGUACCGCAAGAAUAAGCCCCGGCUAACUUCGUGCCAGCAGCCGCGGUAAUACGAAGGGGGCUAGCGUUGCUCGGAAUCACUGGGCGUAAAGGGUGCGUAGGCGGGAUUUUAAGUCAGAGGUGAAAGCCUGGAGCUCAACUCCAGAACUGCCUUUGAUACUGGAAUUCUUGAGUUCGGGAGAGGUGAGCGGAACUGCGAGUGUAGAGGUGAAAUUCGUAGAUAUUCGCAAGAACACCAGUGGCGAAGGCGGCUCACUGGCCCGAUACUGACGCUGAGGCACGAAAGCGUGGGUAGCAAAC
rnacentral:rRNA from 1 species